GUUUCUGUAGUUGAAUACAACGGUGGUUUUUCAAGCCGCUGGUCUUGGUUAAACUCCUAGUAGAAACU
rnacentral:tRNA from 1 species